AGUCUUAUAUUCAUUUUGUGAUAGCAGAAUGCAAUUCUGGAGGGGUGGAGUAGCCACUAAGGCUU
rnacentral:tRNA from 1 species